ACGAACGCUGGCGGCGUGCCUAAUACAUGCAAGUUGAGCGAUGAAGAUUGGUGCUUGCUCCAAUUUGAAGAGCAGCGAACGGGUGAGUAACGCGUGGGGAAUCUGCCUUUGAGCGGGGGACAACAUUUGGAAACGAAUGCUAAUACCGCAUAACAACUUUAAACAUAAGUUUUAAGUUUGAAAGAUGCAAUUGCAUCACUCAAAGAUGAUCCCGCGUUGUAUUAGCUAGUUGGUGAGGUAAAGGCUCACCAAGGCGAUGAUACAUAGCCGACCUGAGAGGGUGAUCGGCCACAUUGGGACUGAGACACGGCCCAAACUCCUACGGGAGGCAGCAGUAGGGAAUCUUCGGCAAUGGACGAAAGUCUGACCGAGCAACGCCGCGUGAGUGAAGAAGGUUUUCGGAUCGUAAAACUCUGUUGGUAGAGAAGAACGUUGGUGAGAGUGGAAAGCUCAUCAAGUGACGGUAACUACCCAGAAAGGGACGGCUAACUACGUG
rnacentral:rRNA from 1 species